GCUCUGGGAUAGCUCAGUCGGUAGAGCAUGAGAUGCUUAAUCUCAGGGUUUGGGGUUCGAGCAACACUUGGACA